UCUGGCUCAGAUAUGAACGCUGGCGGCAUGCUUUACACAUGCAAGUCGGACGGCAGCACGGGUGCUUGCACCUGGAUGGCGAGUGGCGAACGGGUGAGUAAUAUAUUGGAACGUACCGAGUAGUGGGGGAUAACUAAGCGAAAGUUUGGCUAAUACCGCAUACGACCUGAGGGUGAAAGCGGGGGAUAGGAAACUGCCUCGCGCUAUUUGAGCGGCCAAUAUCUGAUUAGCUAGUUGGUGGGGUAAGGGCUUACCAAGGCGAUGAUCAGUAGCGGGUCUGAGAGGAUGAUCCGCCACACUGGGACUGAGAGACGGCCCANACUCCUACGGGAGGCANCAGUGGGGAAUUUUGGACAAUGGGGGCAACCCUGAUCCANNCCAUGCCACGUGUCUGAAGAAGGCCUUCGGGUUGUAAAGGACUUUUGUUAGGGAAGAAAACGGGAAGUGCUAAUAUCACUUUUUGCUGACGGUACCUAAAGAAUAAGCACCGGCUAACUACGUGCCAGCAGCCGCGGUAAUACGUAGGGUGCGAGCGUUAAUCGGAAUUACUGGGCGUAAAGCGAGCGCAGCACGGUUAUUUAAGUCAGAUGUGAAAUCCCCGAGCUUAACUUGGGAACUGCGUUUGAAACUGGGUAACUAGAGUAUGUCAGAGGGGGGUAGAAUUCCACGUGUAGCAGUGAAAUGCGUAGAGAUGUGGAGGAAUACCGAUGGCGAAGGCAGCCCCCUCGGAUAAUACUGACGUUCAUGCUCGAAAGCGUGGGUAGCACACAGGAUUAGAUACCCCGGGUAGUCCACGCCCUANACCGAUGUCAAUUANCCUGUUGGUGCACUANAUGCAUUAGUANGCGAAGCUAACCGCGUGAAAUUUGACCGCCCUGGGGGAGUACGGUCGCAANAUCAUAUCUCAUAGGAAUGGACGGGGCA
rnacentral:rRNA from 1 species